rnacentral:rRNA from 1 species
UACGUAGGUGGCGAGCGUUGUCCGGAUUUACUGGGCGUAAAGAGCGCGCAGGCGGCCAAGUCAGUCGAAUGUGAAAGCCCCCGGCUUAACUGGGGAGGGUCAUUCGAUACUGCUCGGCUCGAAGACAGGAGAGGGAAGUGGAAUUCCCGGUGUAGUGGUGAAAUGCGCAGAUAUCAGGAAGAACACCCGUGGCUAAGGCGGCUCUCUAGUACGGUACUGACGCUGAGACGCGAAAGCGUGGGGAGCGAACAGG